UACAGAGGGUGCGAGCGUUGUCCGGAAUCACUGGGCGUAAAGGGCGCGUAGGCGGCUUGUUAAGUCAGGGGUGAAAUCCUGGAGCUCAACUCCAGAACUGCCUUUGAUACUGGCGAGCUUGAGUCCGGGAGAGGUGAGUGGAACUGCGAGUGUAGAGGUGAAAUUCGUAGAUAUCAGGAGGAACACCAAUGGCGAAGGCAGCUCGCUGGGACGGUACUGACGCUGAGGCGACGAAAGCGUGGGGAGCAAACAGG
rnacentral:rRNA from 1 species